GGGAUUGAGACUUGAAAAAAAAAUUUUUGGCCCAAACAGAAACUGGGAGAAUGAAGGAGCAAAGCAACACAGAAGAAGACGAGAGGUUGGCGUCUUGAACUCACAAAGUAGCUCAGGCUGGCCUUGAACUUACUGUCAUCAUCUUUCCUUAACUGUGAAGCAGUAGGAUUACAGGUAGGUACCGCCGAGCCCAGCUGAGACUGCCCAGCUUUUUAUUCUAGUGUUGCCAUUUGUGGUUUUGUGCCUCAGUAACUCUGUU
rnacentral:lncRNA from 1 species